rnacentral:lncRNA from 1 species
GCAAAAUCAACAUUCAGCUUCCAAGUCUCUGGAAAAACUUGACAAGGACAGAAGGAAAAAGAUCUGUAAAAAGCAGCAAGGGCAAUGGUGGAAGGCAAUGAACAGAAGAGGCAAAUUAUCCAGUGCAGUAGCUUUAUCUUUAAAGCUAAAACUACUUUCCACCAUGCUCAACCUCUUUUUACUUCACACACAAUGAUCACUUUGCUGCAUUCUCUGGAUAUUUCUGUUCUAUUUCAUACACAUUUCCUGUAAAUGGGGAUUAGGAUUUCAAUCACGACCUGCUCACACAACAAUUACUCAGGCAAAAGAGCUAUUAAAAUCAGUGGGAGAGUUUGGCCCGUUUAGACAAUGUGGAAUAAAAUCUAUUUACCCCCAGCAUUUUCCUAAACCUAUGUUGUUACAGGUACUGAAAAAAAUCUUUUACUAUGCAGGGUUUCAUAGAUGACAAUCUCAUCUCUAAAAGACUGCUAUGUUGGGAACAGAUCAGGAUGAUUUUGGGCAAAAGCAAUGCCCAGAGCUCUCAAGGUGAGAAUAUGGAGUGUCACACCUGCAGUGUCACUAACUUCCCUGCACCUGGAUCCCCACCCGCCUUGGGUCUGCUUACCGAGGCUGGUACUUCUUCAGAGAGGAAACAGUGUUUGUCUACACUACAAACAGGCCUGCCACUACCAGCCAAGCUGGGCUCUUUCCUUCUCAUGCAAAUGCUACACAAAAAGGGUGUGAGCAGAGCAGGGAGCCACAGAAGACAGCUUCCCCAGGCCAAACUGGAACUUCACUAACGUGUGUGACAACCCCUGGCUGUAUGCCUGUACCACUCCCCUUGUCGCUAUUCAGCUGAAGAUGCACACUGCGGAUGAAAAUGCAGGCCUGCUUUUGGUUAUCUUUUUCCAGAGAUAACACAACUGACAAGGCUGAAGAGUUCAGAGAAUUCAUGGACAAUGCAAAUGAGGGAAGUCACCCAACAUGGGCAAAGGCUCAUUUUUCUAAUAGAACAGAAAAAAAUUGGCUUUCAAAAAUUGGAACAGCAUAAGCUUUUGGAAAAAAGGGAGGGAGCCAAAGCUGGCCUUACUGCUGCCUCAGGUAUAGUGCUCCUCUUUCAUUAUCAGAGAAAAUCUUCCCAUUGAAUGCCAUCAGUCAUAUUUUUGUAUUGAUAUUUCUAGAUGAGUGAGAUGCCCCCCUUUCUGGCAGUGUAAAAAUCAGAUUGUGUCUUCACAGUAACAUAAAUGCCUAAGAAGAUAUUUCCCAAACAGCCCAAAGCAGAUGGAUGACUAAAACUUACCAAAAUCAUUUAUUGAAACAAAACUCCAUCAGAAGCAGAACACUCAGAGCUCACAGUGGCCAGCACUUUAAAAAAGCAUAAGCAUUCAUAACUGCAGCUGCUCAGAAGUUUCCCAGUAUCUCAGAUUCACUCAAGGUUCACAUAAGAGAUUCUCUCGUGGCUUACAGUUUUAGUAUUUAGUGAGCUGCAUUCUGAUAUGGAGCUCAAGAAGAAACAAAUCACAUCACUCUGUAAGCAGCUCUGAAACCAAAUCCUUUGAGCAUUGCCCAUCAUUUGAACUCUCUCACCACAUAGUUCUUCUGCAAAUAGCCUUUGUUACUAAAGUCACAGUUAAAUAGCGAUCCUAUUUGUCAUUUACACUUCAUAGAUAUCAACGGGUAUAGCUGAAAAUCUGUUAGUACUGU